rnacentral:rRNA from 1 species
ACGGGACCGCACAAGCGGUGGAUGAUGUGGUUUAAUUCGAUGCAACGCGAAAACCUUACCCACCUUUGACAUGUACGGAAUCCUUUAGAGAUAGAGGAGUGCUCGAAAGAGAGCCGUAACACAGGUGCUGCAUGGCUGUCGUCAGCUCGUGUCGUGAGAUGUUGGGUUAAGUCCCGCAACGAGCGCAACCCUUGUCCUUAGUUGCCACCAUUCAGUUGGGCACUCUAAGGAGACUGCCGGUGUUAAACCGGAGGAAGGUGGGGAUGACGUCAAGUCCUCAUGCCCCUUAUGACCUGGGCUACACACGUGCCACAAUGGUUGGUACAACGAGUUGCGAGUCGGUGACGGCGAGCUAAUCUCUUAAAGCCAAUCUCAGUUCGGAUUGUAGGCUGCAACUCGCCUACAUGAAGUCGGAAUCGCUAGUAAUCGCGGAUCAGCACGCCGCGGUGAAUACGUUCCCGGGCCUU